rnacentral:rRNA from 1 species
GAACUGAAGAGUUUGAUCAUGGCUCAGAUUGAACGCUGGCGGCAGGCCUAACACAUGCAAGUCGAGCGGAUGAAGAGAGCUUGCUCUCUGAUUCAGCGGCGGACGGGUGAGUAAUGCCUAGGAAUCUGCCUGAUAGUGGGGGACAACGUUUCGAAAGGAACGCUAAUACCGCAUACGUCCUACGGGAGAAAGCAGGGGACCUUCGGGCCUUGCGCUAUCAGAUGAGCCUAGGUCGGAUUAGCUAGUUGGUGAGGUAACGGCUCACCAAGGCGACGAUCCGUAACUGGUCUGAGAGGAUGAUCAGUCACACUGGAACUGAGACACGGUCCAGACUCCUACGGGAGGCAGCAGUGGGGAAUAUUGGACAAUGG